CCGUUUGGAAUUCGCCCAAAGAAUACCCUACGUCACCAAAAUACGAGUCAUCACGCUACAGUCUGAAGCAAAGAGCAUUUGGAUUCCCAGCGACUUUUUGAAUGCAGGAUACCAGGCGACUGUUCAUGAGUGAGUUAUUGAACCGUUCAUAAACCAAUACUUUUAAAACCGCUCAUUCAGAAUGAAGUAAACAAGUUUUGGACUUUGAGCGCCACAAUUUCAAAGUUCAACCGACGAGCAAGAUGGUGCCAGCUUAACCGGCGAAAGGAUACUACUCCAAAAAUAUAGUUUUUUUUUUUUUUUUCUGCUUCACAAAUGUAUUAUUUACUUGACAUGAAAAAGGAGAGAUAACAGACGCAGCUCCUAUGAGGAUGGAGAUCUGAAGUGUGUCGCCCUUGAGCCAGAGCAGAGGUAGACGAGCAAGUGACACAACACUCAGCUUCGUCCUGAUAAGAGAGAUCAGCAUCUCUUCAUACUGUAUGUAAAGCCAUAUGUGGUUGCUUCAUACUCCACACCCAAGAUGACAGCCGAAUGAAAUGUUUAAUACAUUUCAAAAGCGGAUAUUCAACAGAGACUUCCUUGCCUGUCCAUCACCAAAGCCCUGUGGUUUCUGAGAACUGUCUCCAUCAUCUCCUCAUUCUACUGGAUCUGUCUGCAGCACAAGUGUCUGGAAAAAUGAAACUCUCUUUUAAAUGCAUUCAUCAACCAUCUAUGUGGCUGAUUUAGAUGAAAUGUCUUCAGGACUUGUGCAAUUUCUCAGAGCGCUAUGGGGGAAGCUAGCUGCAAUCAAUUCAAUCUGUGCAAUAUUCUGAGUAAAAGAAAAGUUAUUGAUGAGGAGCUGCAUGCCGAAUUAAAGAUUCCCGGCACAAAGGCCUUGGGGGGUGGCGAGGUGAUUUGUGGAAAAUGAAAUGUUUAAAGGAAAUUGCUUGUGUUUCCUGAAGUUUAGGGCAUGUUUUUCACAAAUGUGACAAGACGAAGCUGAGGAGCUGGGGCAAUUAUUGUAGCUGUCUGCAUAGAUGGAUGAGCAUCCAUGGUAUCUCUGCCAGUAGCGCUC